GCAAACUUGGUCAUUUAGAGGAAGUAAAAGUCGUAACAAGGUUUCCGUAGGUGAACCUGCGGAAGGAUCAUUACCAAUGUCUAGCGUGGGCCUUUAUGGUCUCGCGAAAUUAUUCUGUAUUUAAAACCCAAGUCAUAAAAUCAAAUACACUUUUGUAUACGUUACGAUACGAUACGUUACGAUACGUAAAUAAAAAGAUCACUUUCAACAACGGAUCUCUUGGCUCUCGCAUCGAUGAAGAACGCAGC
rnacentral:misc_RNA from 1 species